GGGAAUGUGACUCAGUGGUAGAGUGCUUGCCUAGCAUGCAUGAAGCCCUAGGUUCAAGUCCUCUGUACCA
rnacentral:tRNA from 1 species